rnacentral:rRNA from 1 species
AUGGAUAUGAUUGUCCCUGCAGUCAUAGGUGAUAUUGUCAACAGAGCUGUAUCCUUUGCCAUCAAGAAAUGCUUGCAGCUUCCAGACGUCGACAAGAAUCUGGAGCGGCUAAAUCAGUUGCUUCUAAGAGCCCAUACCAUCACUGAGGAGGCCGAGGGAAGGCUUAUCAACAAUCGAGAGAUGCUCCAGCAGCUGGGGAUAUUGAUAGAAGGGAUGCACAGAGGCCACUAUAUGCUUGAUAACUUCAAAUGUCGAGACCUUCAAGAAGGGAGAGGGGACGAGCAUGAGGUGAGUCACUUCUCUGGAUUAUCUAUGUUCAGUGCAGCAAAGUGUCUUCGUUCGUCCAAUAACUACAGAAAAGCAGUGCCCUUUGGUAGUAACAACAUAGAAGACCUACAAGAAGCUCUUGGGUUAGAUUGUGCUUGCGUCAAGAAGCUUACUGGCAGAUUUUCAGGAUGUUUGCAUCUAGAAGCACAAAUCCUGAUGAGCAACCAAGAUUUGCAUGAUUACUACUCCAUGGCGCUUUCCAGCCAGAACCAACUCCUUCAAGAGCAAGAUCACUGUUGUCAGGAUUCAUGUCAGGAUGCUCUGAAAGGCGAGGGUGGAGAACCAGAACACACCGUGGACGGGCAGGAAGAAGAGCAGUCUAAAAGCUGCAUUUGA